UUGACCUCAGCCUUGUCUCUUGGCAGAGGAGACAAUACGAGUGUAAGAAACAGCUCAUUGUUUGGAGGAAACUAAGCCAAGCAGCUUGAUGUUUUUGCAGCAUAAAAUAUGAGGCUGGAAGUGGUGUAAGCUCUGUGCCCUCAAGUUUGCCUAACAACGUGUGUGCUCAAUGGGAGGAAACUGACACAUGUUUGGAGAAUGAGUUACACCAAGCUGAGGAUGGAAACUGCCAAAGCACCAGAAGCAGAGCACAGAGAAACCCCAGGAUUGUUUUGGAAAAAUGAAGAAAAUGCAGGAAACAGGCCAAAUGCCAUGGGAUACAGAGGUGCUGACUGAGUCAGAUUACAUCAAGAACAACAGGAUCAAGCAGACUCAACAAGACCAGUACUUAGCUGCAGGAGGAGGAAAACCCUACAAUGACAAAGGACAGGAGCAGUAGCCUGCUGGUCACCAGGUCUGCAAGUUAUCUGUUUCAAGCCUGCUCUUCCAAAUGGUCUUGGCUUAAACCUGAAACUAACUUUUACCAUUCACUGAGUUCAAGGGGGAAAUCAAUAAAGACACAUAGACCCCCAAAAUCCUCAUCUCAUGAAAUUAAAAAAUGAAAGCAAGGAUAUAAUCAUUUGUUCCCUUCCCA